UACGUAGGGGGCGAGCGUUGUCCGGAGUUACUGGGCGUAAAGCGCACGCAGGCGGUCUGUUAAGUUUGGAGUGACAGUUGGUGGCUUAACUGCCAAAGUGCUUCGAAAACUGACAGACUUGAGGGCUUCAGAGGGACACGGAAUUCCGGGUGGAGUGGUGAAAUGCGUAGAGAUCAGGAGGAACACCAAUGGCGAAGGCAGCUCGCUGGGACGGUACUGACACUGAGACGCGAAAGCGUGGGGAGCAAACAGG
rnacentral:rRNA from 1 species